rnacentral:rRNA from 1 species
AACGAACGCUGGCGGCAGGCUUAACACAUGCAAGUCGAACGGGCACCUUCGGGUGUCAGUGGCAGACGGGUGAGUAACGCGUGGGAACGUACCCUUCGGUUCGGAAUAACCCAGGGAAACUUGGGCUAACACCGGAUACGUCCGCAAGGAGAAAGAUUUAUCGCCGAAGGAUCGGCCCGCGUCGGAUUAGCUAGUUGGUGGGGUAAUGGCCCACCAAGGCGACGAUCCGUAGCUGGUCUGAGAGGAUGANCAGCCACACUGGGACUGAGACACGGCCCAGACUCCUACGGGAGGCAGCAGUGGGGAAUAUUGGACAAUGGGCGAAAGCCUGAUCCAGCCAUGCCGCGUGAGUGAAGAAGGCCUUAGGGUUGUAAAGCUCUUUCAGCGGGGAAGAUAAUGACGGUACCCGCAGAAGAAGUCCCGGCUAACUUCGUGCCAGCAGCCGCCGUAAC